rnacentral:ncRNA from 1 species
CCAGAAAAGUUAAAUGUGAUAGCUUUUAAGAGCAGACUAAAAGUGUUCUGCUAGUGGGUCUGCUUCGCUAUGGUGAGAAGCAGUAACCUGCAAGACCGUCAAAUUGCGGGAAAGUCCUUAGAGCCUUUGCUACCGCCUCUGCAUGGAAACAUAGCAGUGUGCACCAGGGUAAUGACCUCGGGUAUGGUAAAAACGCANAGGAUUGGAUAAUCUGCAGCCAAGUCCUAAGGGUGUAAAACCUAUGGAUGCAGUUCAACGACUAAAUGGUGGUCGGUUUCAACGCAAGUUGAAGCUUAAGAUAUAGUCUGGCCCCCCAGAN